rnacentral:lncRNA from 1 species
UUUAAUCAGGUCUCACAUUCCAAAAAUGUCACAUAAAUUUGGUCUCCACAAUCCAUAAGUCUGACACGUCAUUAUCACACAUUAUACAAAGUAAACAAUACAUAAGCUUCACACAUGAGCUCAAUCCAAUGCUCAGAAUACAAUAUAUAGGAAAUGUUACUUCAACUGAUGUUGUUCUUGGUGCAUUGAGCUUUAUUCCAGCAUUGGAGAAGUUCCUUAAUGUUGUGUGGAAUCAAGAUACGGCCGUGAAGCAUGCAGACCUUCACCGUCCAUGAAAGUAGCCAUCUCUUUCUGCUCAUGGGCUCCUAGAAAUAAGCUCAGUUUGACCUGUACACUAUCUCUUUUCUAUGAAACACACAAGCCUAACCAGCAGCAAGCACACCCCC